rnacentral:rRNA from 1 species
CGGACGGGUGAGUAACACGUAGAGAACCUACCUUACACAGGGGGACAACGGCUGGAAACGGCUGCUAAUACCGCAUAAGCACCCAGUUUUGCAUGAAACAGAGUGAAAAGAGUAAAUCGGUGUAAGAUGGCUCUGCGUCUGAUUAGCUAGUUGGUGGGGUAAAGGCUCACCAAGGCGACGAUCAGUAGCCGGCCUGAGAGGGCGACCGGCCACAUUGGGACUGAGACACGGCCCAGACUCCUACGGGAGGCAGCAG